GCUAGGCAUGGUGGUGCGUGCCUGUAGUACUAGCUACUCAGAAGGCUGAGGCAGGAGGAUCACCUGAAUCCAGGAUUUCAAGGCUGCAGUGAGCUAUGAUGGCAUCACUGCACUCCAGCCUGGGUGACAGAGUGAGACCCUGUCUCUA
rnacentral:SRP_RNA from 1 species